GUUAUUACUACCUGAGACUCUGAAAGGAAGCACUAAAAAAAUGAAGACAGAGGAAUACCAGGAGAGAGAGGAGGUCCAGUUAGACCUAAAGGUGGGCAAGAAGAAGAGGGAGAGAGUGCUUUGCAUGUAGCGUUUGAGGCAGGCGGCUGGGACAUUGAAUGAAAAGCCUGGUGGAGGCAGGUUCAGCAUGCCACCCUUUCCUGGUCGUGAAGAUGCCAGCUCCAGCUCCAAGCAGAGGAGGUUGGCCUUUGCCCCACGGCCUUGGCUGCAGCACGCAUCACAUGCCUCCACACCUCCCCAUCUCCUCUUGAAGAUCUCUCUCCAGAUAGAGACCGUUUCCUCCCUAGAGGAAUCCUUGUACUAUCCAUAGG